rnacentral:rRNA from 1 species
UUAGGAAUAUUGGACAAUGGACGCAAGUCUGAUCCAGCCAUGCCGCGUGAGCGAUGAAGGCCUUCGGGUUGUAAAGCUCUUUAGUCCACGAAUAUAAUGACUGUAGUGGAAGAAUAAGCCCCGGCUAACUUCGUGCCAGCAGCCGCGGUAAUACGAAGGGGGCGAGCGUUGUUCGGAAUCACUGGGCGUAAAGCGUGCGUAGGCGGUCAUGUAAGUUAGAAGUGAAAGCCCUAGGCUCAACCUGGGAAUUGCUUUUAAAACUACAUGACUGGAAUUCGGGAGAGGAUAGCGGAAUUGUCAGUGUAGCAGUGAAAUGCGUAGAUAUUGACAGGAACACCAGUGGCGUAAGCGGCUAUCUGGACCGACAUUGACGCUGAGGCACGAAAGCGUGGGGAUCAAACAGG